GAACAUUUACACAAUGAGAAGUACAAUGCAUUGUGGGGGAGAUCAGUAAUAUACAGUUUGUUACAGUGUCAAAAGUCAUAUACACUGGAGUCAUAUCAUGCGUUUUGGCUUAAAAUGGGAUGGCUGAGUGAGUGUCGACUGUCUGUGUCAUCUUGUAGUUCUCACGCCACUCUCUCUCUCUCCCCGCUGAGCACAGCAGCUGCUGGAGCACCACAAUCACUUGGGAGCCAUACUCAGGGCUAACAAAAAGCAAAGAGGGGAUCCUUGAAAUAUGAUAUGAACGAUAUUUAAGCACUGAGCGUUCUGUGCAGAUUUCAGGAAGCAUGGUUUGUAGAGACCGGUUGAUAUGGAUUAUUAUUAUUAUUUUUUGAGCGAUGCUAGUUCGGAUAUUUGGCAGAAAAUAUUCAGAUCACCAACUGAUUAAAUCAUCCAGUCGUUCAAAAACAACAACAAAAAAUACAAUGAACAAAAUAACAUUUUUGGGGCCUCUUAGUGCUCAUAACAACCACAAUAUGAGUUGCAGGCAGAAAAUUUGAUUUUUUUUUACAAUACUUUGUCCUUUACUAUUAACUUUACAACAGUGAGGGUUUUUUAUGUACAAAAUCAUGCAAGAAAUGCAUUAACUGGUGAAUGCAUUUUUGCAUUUUGGUAGCAACAACAGAAUCUAAAUCUCAUCACGUAAAUACUUACAAACAUUGCGUCGUAAUGGGCAUAUGAGAGGAUUGACAAGCAUGAAAUUCCCACAGAAUAGCUGACAGCCAUGCAUGUCCUUUACUUCCUCCCGAUACCAUUUGAAUAGUAUUUACUAAGGGUGUGGAAAAUAAUCGAUAUUAAUCGAUACAUCGAUGCGCACGUCCGCGAUCCGAGUGCAUCGGCUCAUUCACUGGGUACGACGCGAUUGACGGGUGAAAUCGCGAUUCAUCACGAUGCAUUGAUGGGUAUCGGUAAAAUCCGAUUCAAUCGCCGUUUUAUUCAUGUUAAACGUCACAUAUCUGCCCUUUCCUAGGCGCAAUGAAUGCACCAUCAUUGCUUUGCGUUUUGUGUUGAAUACGGACGGUAGCCGUGCGUCACGUACAGUCCAGUACACAGCGAGCGAAACAUUAUGGAAGUUAGCGCACGCAGCAGCAAGGAAACUAGUAUAUUUAAUGCAGCCGCAACAUUCAAAUCUUAUGUUUGGAAAUACUACGGCUUCGAAAAGAAAGACGGAAAGCUUGAUAAAACCUCCGUAAUUUGCAAGGAAUGUCGCACUAAGAAGCCAUACAACUGCAGCACCACAAAUAUGCAGACCCACUUAAACCGAUGGCACCAGAUCACCGACAAGUUUCCCUCCCGCUCCCCCGCUUCCACGCCCAGUUCCUCGUCGGACACCGGAGAAACUCUUGGUAAACCAGGUCAGGAUCAGAAAAAAAUGGCCUCUUAUUUUGGGAGUCCCCUUGCAACUCACUGUGACCGCGCAAUGGCUAUAACUAAGGCCACUGCUUAUUUCAUAUGCAAAGACCACUUAGCAUGGUGGACAACGAGGGUUUCAGACCGCUCGUGCACGUUUUGGAACCCAGGUAUAAAAUACCAGACAGGUCUGUGUUCACUUACAAACAUAUUCCCGAUGUGUACAACAAAGUGAGAAGUGAGAUUACUGUGUCGCUGAAUAGUGCGCAAAGAGUUGCACUUACAGUGGAUGGGUGGACAUCUUGCGCUAGAGAUUCAUAUACAUAUAUAUAUUAUUAUUAUAUUUCAUAUAAGACACUCAGUGAGAAUAGUCUGUUUGUGUUUACACUAUAGCAACAGCUGUGAGUCUCAGGUGCCAAAUUGUUUACAUUUUCUUUGCACAAAACCCAAUUGUGAAAGGGCUUAAAUAAGUUGUUUUACAAGUUCUACUCUUUAUAAGGAAUAAAGUGGUAUCCUUUUUGUAAUACCAUACUGAAUUCCAUCUUUUCAAAAGCUUUUUUUCUUUGCUUAUUUGCAUCAUGUUUAAUUGCACAAUAUCGCAACAAAUUGCAUUGUAUCGUAUCGGAUCGCAUUGAUUUGAACUUAAUGUGUAUCGAAUCGUAUCGCAUCGUGACGACGGUGAAACGUAUCGCAUCGUAUCGCCAGAAAAUUCCAUGUAUCGUUUAAGUAUCGCAUCGCUGGCAGUGGAUCGUGAUGUGUAUCGAAUCGUCCUCAGUGCUGAGAUUCACAUCCCUAGUAUUUACAGUGGCGCAAAUAAGUAUUUAGUCAACCACCAAUUGUGCAAGUUCUCCGAUUUGAAAAGAUUAGAGAGGCCUGUAAUUGUCAACAUGGGUAAACCUCAACCAUGAGAGACAGAGUGUAGAGAAAAAAGUCAGAAAAUUACAUUGUUUGAUUUUUAAAGAUUUUAUUUGCAAAUCAUGGUGGAAAAUAAGUAUUUGGUCAAUACCAAAAGUUCAUCUCAAUACUUUGUUAUGUACCCUGUGUUGGAAAUUAACGGAGGCCAAACGUUUUCUGUCACUCUUCACAAGCUUUUCACACACUGUUGCUCGUAUUUUGUCUCAUUCUUCCAUGCAGAGCUCCUUUAGAGCAGUGCUGUUUUGGGGCUGUCGUUGGGCAACACGGACUUUCAACUCCCUCCACAGAUUUUCAAUGGGGUUGAGAUCUGGAGACUGGCUAGGCCACUCCAGGACCUUGAAAUGCUUCUUACGAAGUCCCUCCUUUGUUGCCCUGGCUGUGUGUUUGGGAUCAUUGUCAUGCUGAGUGACCCAGCCAUGUCUCAUCUUCAAUGCACUUGCUGAUGGAAGAAGAUUUUCACUCCAGAUCCCUCGAUACACGACACCAUUCAUUCUUUCCUUUACACAGAUCAGUCGUCCUGGUCCCUUUUCAGAAAAACAGCCCCAAAGCGUGAUGUUUCCACCCCCAUGCUUCACCGUGGGUAUGGUGUUCUUCGGAUGCAAUUCAGUAUUGUUUCUCCUCCAAACACGAGAACCUGUGUUUCUACCAAAAAGUUCUAUUUUGGUUUCAUCUGACCAGAACACAUUCUCCCAGUCCUCUUCUGGAGCAUCCAAAUGCUCUAUACCGAACUGCAGACGGGCCUGGACGUGUACUGGCUUCAGCAGGGUGACACAUCUGGCAGUGCAGGAUUUGAGUCCCUGGCGGCGCAUUGUGUUACUGAUUGUAGCCUUUGUUACUGUGGUCCCAGCUCUCUGUAGGUCAUUCACUAAGUCCCCGCGUGUGGUUCUGGGAUUUUUGCUCACUGUUCUUGUUAUCAUUUUGACGCCACGGGGUGAGAUCUUGCAUGGAGCCCCAGAUCAAGGGAGAUUAUCAGUGGUCUUGUAUGUCUUGCAUUUUCUAAUAAUUGCUCCCACAGUUGAUUUAUUUACACCGAGCGUUUUACCUAUUGCAGAUUCAGUCUUCCCAGCCUGGUGCAGGUCUACAAUUUUGUCUCUGGUGUCCUUCUACAGCUCUUUGGUCUUGGCCAUAGUGGUGUCAUGAUUUGGUUUAGGGACCAACAGGUGGCACUGUAGGGCUCCCCUGGCAGCUGCACACCUGUUGGUCAUAGGUAAUCAGGCCUUUAAAAGGACUCCCAGCCCGAACACUCAGGGUCGGGUCAUUGUUGCUGCUUGCUCUUGGUUUCUGUCAUGUUUAGUUCAUUGUUAUGUUUUAGCUUUCGUUAGUGAUGGGUCCAGCGACACCGAUGCAUUGACACAUGCGCCGGGCUCACAGAGCAAACCACGUGUCGAUGCAUGUGCUGCUUCAUUACGUCACGUGAUUGACACGUGAACUGCAUUGACACAGUCCAGGCUUCUAAUUGACACACCGGCUGCGUUGACACAGUCCAGGCUGCUAAUUGACACAUCGACUGUGUUGACACAGUCCAGGCUGCUAAUUGACACAUCGGCUGCGUUGACACAGUCCAGGCUGCUAAUUGACUGCACCGGUGCAGUUUAGACUGCAUCGGCUGCUUGGCACAGUACAGGCUGCGCCACUUAGUCCAGGGGGCGUCGACUCAGUGCAGAGGGCGUUGACGCAGCAAAAGCCCGCCGCACAGUGUUUAUAAGGAAGUGGGUUUGGCGACACAGUGCCACUUGCCGAAACAAGCCAGACCUCACUCACGCUCGCUUGUCGAAGUUCGUGUCAGUGCAGACUUCGUGUUCGUGCCUUGCCUUCCUUGCCGAUUAUGGAGCAGAGACGCAAAUCAUCCGCCGUGUGGGACCAUUUUGAUGUCCUGGAGAAUAAGGUGAAAUGUCGAAUUUGCCAAGUCGAAUUGUCAUACACCAACAGAAGCACCUCCACCAUGCCGAGGCAUUAUCGGGCCAAGCAUGAGAAUGAAGUUCGCGAUACACCCAGUAUUACGCCAGGUUCCAGGAAGCAGCUGUACUGGAAGGACCAACACACUUCUUUCCCAAACCUCUCCAACCUCGCAAAGGAGUUCCUUUGUACGCCAGCCUCAUCUGUCCCUUGUGAGCGUGUGUUCUCCACAGCAGGAGAAAUCGCUUGUAAAAGACGCAACAGGCUGAAGUUUAAAACAUUGGAGCAUCUUAUUUUUCUCAAUAAAAAUUUGUGAAAUAAAAGCCCACAAGCAUCCUCAUUCAAAUGAUCUUCACAUUAUUUGAACACAUUGAAUGUUGCAAAAUUAAUGCAUGGAUGUGAAUGAUGAUUGUAUACACUUCAUCAUCAAAUCGAUGAAUGACCUUAUGAAAAUGUUUUGGAACGGUUGUAGAUGCAAAACCGUGCUGGCAGCUACAUAAUAGAUAAUAAAAGAAAAAUAUCCCAAACCAUAGGGAUCCUCCCAAAAACUAAGGAUGUGCUGAACAAGAGAUACUUGUACACCUUAUACUUUUACUACUUCCAUAUUUGACCUAUUGUGUGGGAAUAUGGGGAAAUGCCAGUAAAACACUGUUUUAAAACUACAAUUCAAAGCAAUCGGAACAAUCACUGGCUCCAAAUGGACGGAACCCACAAAUGCACUGUUUAUCAAAUUAAACAAUGAAAUCUCAUGACCUGAUUGACUUCAAAAUCGCCCAAUUAAUGUACAAAGCACACAAUAAUAACCUUUGCCAAAAGAUCCAGAAGCUUUUUAAAAUUCGAGAAAGUUGUCAUAAUUUAGGGGGUACUAAUCUAUACAAAAAAAUCCAAAACACGAACGAACAUCACACAAAGGAGUGUAUCUGUAAUAGGUGUAAAUCUGUGGAAUGAUUCUGAAACGGACCAGUAAAAUGAGGAACUCUCUUGCUGAGAUUAAAAAUGAAUCCGAGAGUAGUACAAGACAACUACACAAAUCAGAAUUAAGCUGAUAAAUUCGAUACACUCAUGAAAUAUAGCAAUACAUCAGAAAUACAUUGAUGAGAUUAUUUAAUAUAUUAAUGAAAUGUAGCAUCCAUUAUGAAUAUGAGAAAAUCGACAUAUACAUGUGCUCUAAAGAGUAUGUACUGUAUAUACCUAAUGUUGUAAAAAUGUGUAUACCUAAUGUUGUAAAAAUGUAUUAGUACAGCAUACAUAAGGGUAAAAGCAUUUGUUGAUAUUUAGACUUUCUUUCCUAUUUAGAAAAAUUAUCAAUUCAUAUAUAAGAAGGGUUAGGACUCGGGGUAGGUUUUUUGCUUCUUUCUACUCCUUUGAACACAUAUUUGUGAUGAUGACUAUUUUCUUUUCCUUUUUUUAUAUCUUACCUUCACCUUUUGCCAAUUUAUUACCGAAUUGUAUAUUUUAUAUGUUCAAUAUACAAAACAAUUUAUCAGUCAGUUCAGUCUGUUAAGUGGGUUGGCUGCAGGGAUCUUGAAGGUCCAGCAGGUGGCAGUGGUCAGUGACACAGUAUCAGCACAGUAUCAACACAGUGUGUCAGUGUGUUGACACGCCUCAUGAGGCCUCAUGGACCCAUCACUAGCUUUAGUCAUGGUUUUUGUUUGAUACUUUGGACUUUGUGUGUUUUGGAUUUAAUUUUCUUUGUUUUGAAUACAAUUCUUUAAAUACACCCUGCUUUUUGGGGUCCACCUCGCAACGUGACAAGUGGAGUUUGGAGUGUGACUGACUGAGGUUGUAGACGGGUGUCUUACACCAAUAACGAGUUAAAACAGGCGCCAUUAAUACAGGUAACGAGAGGAGCCUCGUUAGAACUCAUUAGAAGUUAGACCUCUUUGACAGCCAGAAAUCUUGCUUCCUUGUAGCUGACCAAAUACUUAUUUUCCACUCUAAUUUGCAAAUAAAUUCAUUAAAAAUCAAACAAUGUAAUUUUCUGAGUUUUUUCCCUACACUCUGUCUCUCAUGGUUGAGCUUUACCCAUGUUGACAAUUAAUGGCCUCUCUAAUCUUUUCAAGUAGGAGAACCUGCACAAUUGGUGGUUGACUCAAUAGUUAUUUGUCCCACUGUACCUUAGUAAUUUUUCAUGAAAAAGUGUAAGAUUAUAAUUGCCUUCAAAUGGAAAGCCAAAAAUGUUCUUUACAGUAAUGUGAGGUAGUCUAAGCACUGUUCUGAUUAAUAUUGUGUUUGUGGAAUAUCUAAACUCAGCUAAGCUAUAUUCACAGAGCACUUUAAAACAACCAGUUGUAUACAAAGUUCUGCACAUGGAGCAAAAAUAAUUCAUUCAUUCAUUCAUUCAUUCAUCUUCCGAGCCGCUUGAUCCUCACUAAUGUCGCGGGGGGCGCUGGAGCCUAUCCCAGCUGUCUUCGGGCAGUAGGCGGGGGACACCCUGAGUCGGUUGCCAGCCAAUCACAGGGCACACAGAGACGAACAACCAUCCACGCUCACACAACAAACAAAUUAAUAACAAAGACAGUAAAAAGCACAAAAACAGUAACACUAAACAAGUCUCAUGCCAAGUCAAAAGCCAAAGAAUAAAAAUUAGUUUUAAGAUGACUUUUAAAGAUCGGCAGUGAGCUGACAUAACAAUAUGAAUUAAGCAGAAAAAUCCACUUGUCUUUAUCUAUCUCACUUAUCCUGUACAACAUCUUGCAGUCGACUGAAAAUAACAUCACAGUCAGGGGCGGUUCUGGAUCAAUUUCACUGAGGGGGGCGGGCUGGGGCCAGGGGUUUUGAUGGGGGGGCACAUUCAACCCAGGGCUAAAAAGACAGAUUCGAAAUCUUAUUUGACUUUUUAUUUCUUCAAACUUUGAAAUUGUAGUCACAACAUUACAGUGAUGAGAAAAAAAACUGUAUUAGGAGGGCUAAAAUGUCUGCAAGCGUAACAAUACGCCGUGUCCAUCUGUUGAGAAUAUUCAAGGCAGGGGAUGAUAUGGUACCAGCCUGCCGGGGACAAAAAUUGUAAAUACAUUGAAGCUAGAUGUUUUACAUGCAUAUAAUUAUCCAAAUUUUAAAAGGCAAUGUCUUAUAUAAUGAUCCUGUUAAAUAAAAAUUAAAAUAAAAAGGGAGACUAAAAAAGUUACACACACAAAUACACACACGCACAUGCACACGCACGUCGUGGUAAUUUCCUUCUCUGCGGACUGCUUCUCAUUUUCCCAUUUAAGUGGUGCAGCGCACUAAAGGGUCCGACGAGAAUGUUAAAUCACGCACUUUUGUUCCACCUUUCGCGUCGGCGACUCGGGGCGAUUGCAUAAUCUACGCUCGGAGGGGGGGCCAGAACGGGGGGCCAGAAUCAGUGCUACAGGGGCAUUGGCCCCCCU